GACGAACCGUCCAAACGUUAUUCGGAAUUACUGGGCUUAAAGGGUGCGUAGGCGGUGCUACAAGUCGGGUGUGAAAUCCCUCAGCUUAACUGAGGAACUGCGCCCGAAACUGUAGUGCUGGAGUGAGGCAGGGGUGAGCGGAACUGAUGGUGGAGCGGUGAAAUGUGUUGAUAUCAUCAGGAACACCGGAGGCGAAGGCGGCUCGCUGGACCUGAUCUGACGCUGAGGUGCGAAAGCGUGGGGAGCGAACAGG
rnacentral:rRNA from 1 species